rnacentral:rRNA from 1 species
GAUGAACGCUGGCGGCGUGCCUAAUACAUGCAAGUCGAGCGAACGGACGAGAAGCUUGCUUUUCUGAUGUUAGCGGCGGACGGGUGAGUAACACGUGGAUAACCUACCUAUAAGACUGGGAUAACUUCGGGAAACCGGAGCUAAUACCGGAUAAUAUUUUGAACCGCAUGGUUCAAAAGUGAAAGACGGUCUUGCUGUCACUUAUAGAUGGAUCCGCGCUGCAUUAGCUAGUUGGUAAGGUAACGGCUUACCAAGGCAACGAUGCAUAGCCGACCUGAGGGGGUGAUCGGCCACACUGGAACUGAGACACGGUCCAGACUCCUACGGGAGGCAGCAGUAGGGAAUCUUCCGCAAUGGGUGAAAGCCUGACGGAGCAACGCCGCGUGAGUGAUGAAGGUCUUCGGAUCGUAAAACUCUGUUAUUAGGGAAGAACAUAUGUGUAAGUAACUGUGCACAUCUUGACGGUACCUAAUCAGAAAGCCACGGCUAACUACGUG